rnacentral:rRNA from 1 species
AGCGGCACCACCCUGAGAACGCUCAAUCUCGUCAGAUCUCGGAACCUAAGCAGGGUCAAACCUGGUUAAUACUCAGAUGGGAGACCAAUGGGAAUAUCAGGUGGAGCAGCAG